UUUAGUUUUGCUCUGCAGAUUCCCUUGAAAAUCUAUGGCUUUUCUACCCUGAAAGUUUGGUCUGCUGCUGGAUUCGGUUGUUUAAGCUGUUGUUUUCGAUUUAUGACCGUCUUUUGAUGCUGUAUUGGUUUUAAUUUUAGUUGGUUUUAAUUCUUAGGUUUUUAUUGUUGGUUUUAAUUUUAAAUCUUCGUUCUAGGUUUUAGUUGUUGGUUUCUUUAUUUUUUAUCUGGUUUAUGGUUUUUGGUUGGUUUAUGGCUUGAAGUGAUUGAGUUUUUUUUUUUUGUCUAUUGGUUCGUGUCAUUUUAGAUUUUUUUAGUCUAUUUUUGCUUCAUUUACUUAGUUUCAGUUGUGAUCAUUAUACUGAGUUUUUUUUGGUUCAUAGCAGUUUUUUAUCUUUAGGGAAAGUCAAAGGUCAUUUACAUUUGCUUGGUUAGGAGAACAUCAAGGUUGGCUGAGUGUCAGGUACAAAAUCGGUUGUUCUUCGAGUCUCAUAAUUUUAUUUUUGGUUUAGUUUGUUUUUUUAAUUGUCGUUCAGGAGAAAUAAAUGCGUUCCAGUGAUAGCUCUUGAA
rnacentral:lncRNA from 1 species